UUGAUCUCAAAUCAGGUAGGACUACCCGCUGAACUUAAGCAUAUCAAUAAGCGGAGGAAAAGAAACUAACAAGGAUUCCCCUAGUAACUGCGAGUGAAGCGGGAAGAGCUCAAAUUUAAAAUCUGGCGUGCCUCUGGCCGUCCGAGUUGUAGUCUGGAGAAGCGUUUUCCGUGUUGGACCGUGUAUAAGUCUCUUGGAACAGGGCGUCAUAGAGGGUGAGAAUCCCGUCUUUGACACGGACUACCAAUGCUUUGUGAUGCGCUCUCAAAGAGUCGAGUUGUUUGGGAAUGCAGCUCAAAAAUGGGUGGUAAAUUCCAUCU
rnacentral:rRNA from 1 species